GAUGAACGCUGGCGGCGUGCCUAAUACAUGCAAGUCGAGCGAACAGACGAGGAGCUUGCUCCUCUGACGUUAGCGGCGGACGGGUGAGUAACACGUGGAUAACCUACCUAUAAGACUGGGAUAACUUCGGGAAACCGGAGCUAAUACCGGAUAAUAUAUUGAACCGCAUGGUUCAAUAGUGAAAGACGGUUUUGCUGUCACUUAUAGAUGGAUCCGCGCCGCAUUAGCUAGUUGGUAAGGUAACGGCUUACCAAGGCAACGAUGCGUAGCCGACCUGAGAGGGUGAUCGGCCACACUGGACCUGAGACACGGUCAAGACUCCUACGGGAGGCAGCAGUGGGGAAUCUUCCGCAAUGGGCGAAAGCAUGACGGAGCAACGCCGCGUGAGUGAUGAAGGUCUUCGGAUCGUAAAACUCUGUUAUUAGGGAAGAACAAAUGUGUAAGUAAAUAUGCACGUCUGGACGGUACCUAAUCAGAAAGCCACGGCUAACUACGU
rnacentral:rRNA from 1 species